rnacentral:piRNA from 1 species
UAGCUACGGUUUGCCUUAUGAUCUUUGCA